UACGAACGCUGGCGGCGUGCUUAACACAUGCAAGUCGAGCGGUAAGGCCCUUUCGGGGGUACACGAGCGGCGAACGGGUGAGUAACACGUGGGUGACCUGCCCUCAGCUCUGGGAUAAGCCUGGGAAACCGGGUCUAAUACUGGAUAUGACUCCAUGACGCAUGUUGUGGGGUGGAAAGCCUUGUGCGGCUGAGGAUGGGCCCGCGGCCUAUCAGCUUGUUGGUGGGGGAUGGCCUACCAAGGCGACGACGGGUAGCCGGCCUGAGAGGGCGACCGGCCACACUGGGACUGAGACACGGCCCAGACUCCUACGGGAGGCAGCAGUGGGGAAUCUUGCGCAAUGGGCGAAAGCCUGACGCAGCGACGCCGCGUGAGGGAUGACGGCCUGG
rnacentral:rRNA from 1 species